CCGGUUCCGGUUCACGUGCCCCCACACGGGUGGGCACGACCCGGCGCC
rnacentral:ncRNA from 1 species